UUUUCCGCAAUGGACGAAAGUCUGACGGAGCAACGCCGCGUGAGUGAUGAAGGUUUUCGGAUCGUAAAGCUCUGUUGUUAGGGAAGAACAAGUGCCGUUCAAAUAGGGCGGCACCUUGACGGUACCUAACCAGAAAGCCACGGCUAACUACGUGCCAGCAGCCGCGGUAAGACGUAGGUGGCAAGCGUGGUCCGGAAUUAAUGGGCGUAAAGGGCUCGCAGGCGGGUUCUUAAGUCUGAUGGGAAAGCCCCCGGCUCAACCGGGGAGGGUGAUUGGAAACUGGGGAACUUGAGUGCAGAAGAGGAGAGUGGAAUCCCACGUGUAGCGGUGAAAUGCGUAGAGAUGUGGAGGAACACCAGUGGCGAAGGCGACUCUCUGGUCUGUAACUGACGCUGAGGAGCGAAAGCGUGGGGAGCGAACAG
rnacentral:rRNA from 1 species